rnacentral:rRNA from 1 species
GAGUUUGAUCCUGGCUCAGAGCGAACGCUGGCGGCAGGCCUAACACAUGCAAGUCGAACGAACUCUUCGGAGUUAGUGGCGGACGGGUGAGUAACACGUGGGAACGUGCCUUUUGGUUCGGAAUAACUCAGGGAAACUUGUGCUAAUACCGAAUGUGCCCUUCGGGGAAGGAUUUAUCGCCAUUAGAGCGGCCCGCCGUCUGAUUAGCUAGUUGGUGAGGUAAAGGCUCACCAAGGCGACGAUCAGUAGCUGGUCUGAGAGGAUGAUCAGCCACAUUGGGACUGAGACACGGCCCAAACUCCUACGGGAGGCAGCAGUGGGGAAGUCUUGCGCAAUGGGCGAGAGCCUGACGCAGCCAUGCCGCGUGAAUGAUGAAGGUCUUAGGAUUGUAAAAUUCUUUCACCGGGGACGAUAAUGACGGUACCCGGAGAAGAAGCCCCGGCUAACUUCGUGCCAGCCGCCGCAGUAAC